rnacentral:rRNA from 1 species
GACGAACGCUGGCGGCGUGCUUAACACAUGCAAGUCGAACGGAAAGGCCCUGCUUUUGUGGGGUGCUCGAGUGGCGAACGGGUGAGUAACACGUGAGUAACCUGCCCUUGACUUUGGGAUAACUUCAGGAAACUGGGGCUAAUACCGGAUAGGAGCUCCUGCUGCAUGGUGGGGGUUGGAAAGUUUCGGCGGUUGGGGAUGGACUCGCGGCUUAUCAGCUUGUUGGUGGGGUAGUGGCUUACCAAGGCUUUGACGGGUAGCCGGCCUGAGAGGGUGACCGGCCUCAUUGGGACUGCGAUACGGCCCAGACUCCUACGGGAGGCAGCAGUGGGGAAUAUUGCCCAAUGGGCGGAAGCCUGUUGCAGAAACGCCGCGUGCGGGAUGACGGCCUUCGGGUUGUAAACCGCUUUCGCCUGUGACGAAGCGUGAGUGACGGUAAUGGGUAAAGAAGCACCGGCUAACUACGUG